ACCACCUGCGCCGCCCCACUUACCAUCUGCCCCGCGGGGAGGGCCCCUCGGGGUAGCAGUGCCCUCCCUGCUCCCGGGCGGCUCUGGGGGAGCUCGGCGUUUGCCUCCAGCCCUUCGCUACCGGAGAGAUCAGGUUCCUCCCCUCCUCCCCCUCCAGCUCCGGCCGCCGCCGCCGCCUCCUUCUUCUUGCAUGACACAGCAGAACCGCAGCUGCGGCAGCGAGUCCCAACCAUCCGCCCAGGAAGCGCCGCAACCGGGACUCGGGAGGGGCGGAGGGGGGCGAGGCAGGGGCCACGGCCGCGGGGGGUGCUUGCCCCCACUCGGCACCGCACACUUGUUUCCCAGCCCAGGGGCACGGGAACCAAAUCAGGCGAAAGCCGACCAGGCCGAGCCGUGGAGGAAUGCUGGGGUUUGGCGUCAGAAGGGAUGGGACCCCGAGAGAAGGGUGCGAAGGAGAGACCCCAAUAGGGGCAGGACAUUGCAGGAAAAGAAGGGAAAGAAGAGGCCGAGAAGUCAAGGGCCAGUCUGUGAAGGAGAAUAAAGGAGGUCAAAGAGAGGUCAUAUCUUCGUACCUCACUUCCUGACACAAACAAGUUUUUACUGUUGUCAGCAACAAAGCCCUAAUAUAGCCGCAGAAGAGAAAAACUGCAUUGCAUUUAGCCUCUCCUGCAAGCAUCAUCAACGGUUACGGGAGGAAUGUAAUUCCAGAGAGCUUUAAAGCUGGUGGUGAUGGUAAUUAUGUGUCAGAUGCUUGAUGCUAUUUCUGUUAUUAUUGUUUUUGUCAUUUCUCUUCUACCGGAGAGCUGGCCCAAACUCGAAGAGAGGAAUCCGGCUUUGCUUUUUUGACUUUGUAAAAAUGUAGUCAGCCUCGGUAGAAAACUCACUGCUCCUGGGGAAAAUAAAGUAGGAGCCACGAAAUGUCAUUUUAGCAGAGCGUGGGUUUUGCGACUGUAGGAAAGGAUUUGAGGACGCUCCUUCUGUUCGGUUUCCUAUGUAACGAGGCAAGGCUACGCGCACGCACAGACGCCGCAGCUCGCGGGUGCUGUGGCUCCCGCAUCUGGGCUUGUGCAGCUCCAGAAGCCCCUUCGGGAUGCUGCGAGGGGCUCCCGGUGGGUGGAGGCAGGAACGCUGCGGCCGCCGCCGCCGCCGCCGCCACUCCUGCCGCCGCUGCUGUUGUUGCUGCUGCAGUCACGUGGGAGCCCCUUUAAGUUUCCAUAGAGAGGCCUCUCCGGUGUCACAUGAUGGACAUGAUAUAAUGAAACAACAUUGUGGAGAGGAAAGCAUUCGGGGAGCCCACGGCUACAAAAACAAGUGAGUGAGAAGAGGUGGGAGGAAGAGAAACUACGCCACCUCCCCUGCAGCCGAGCCGCGCGCAGCAGAGCCUGCCCGAAGCGGGCGACGCCGGGGGCAGGGGGACGGGGUCCUCAGCGCCGACCCCGGGGACCCCGGGGACCCCGCCGCCGCCGCCGCCGCCGCCGCCGCGGGCACAACUUUCAGCCGGCAGCCUCGGCCACCGCCGCACCUGUCUCCGGAGCCUCCAUCGCUCCUCGUGACGCUCAGAGGGAAAUUCUAGAAGAAUACGCUCCACAGACAUACAUGCGCAUCAUUUUCCUCCUCGCGUGUCGCCCUGGAAGAGGCAGGAGACGGGGAAGGGAGCGGCAGCGUGCGUUCCGCCCCCAGGGAGAAAGAUCAAGACGUUACGCCCCACCCCUCCCGUUUUGUGUACCGAUUCAGCUCGCGGCGAGGCUGCAGGAAGCUUAGGAAUGAGUCUCAAGUGCAUCCUUCUCCACACUUGUGCCAUCCGCAUCGGAAGAUCUGAAAAUUGAACCUGAACACUCCAGUUUGGAAAGCUUGUUGACCCCAAUUUGGAAGACGUUGCUGCUUUUUGUUUCCACGGUGGAGGCACUGGGCUCCUUAAAGAAAUCCUUUCCUUGACGGUUCACUAGAAGAGUUUCUGGGAACCUGCUUAAUUCUUCUGUUAAUUCUUGAACAGUUCAUAAAAAAGUGCUGCCUCCGAUCUUUCUCUUGCAAAGUUGUAUAUGGUGUGUGACCUUGAGUGCUUGUUUCCCACUUCUAGGGAAUUUUUGUUAGUGCUGAAUCUUUGUUGUGUUGUUCACAGCUACGCCAUGCUAUGUAUCUGUUCAUUGUCAAGGCCACUGACAAUUGUUUUGCUUUCUGCUUUUACAUUGAUGCCUCAUACAUUCAUUGCACAUAUUGUCCAUUUUCUAAAAAAAUCUAUGAUUAUCUUUUUUGUUUCUUUAUGUUUCCAGAGAGAUUAAUCAUGGCUAUCCUAGGAACACUUACUUAAUCAGUUUUGUCCCUAGUAUUGUUCAUAACCCUUCGGCUUUUACAAUUUUUUUUUUUUUAGUCUUUCAAAAUUGUGUAAUACCUAAUUCUUACAAGCUCUAUCCCAAAAGAAUUUGUGAUGACUCUUGAUUUUUUGGGAUUAUUGCCUGAAAAUGCAGAUAUUUGAUAGCAGCAAGUGAAUAAGUAUUUUUAAAUAAAAUGCCAUUCAUAGCCUUUGGGUUUGAUCUUUGAAA